rnacentral:rRNA from 1 species
AACGAACGCUGGCGGCGUGGCUUAGGCAUGCAAGUCGAACGAGAAACGAGGGGCAACCCUCGCAGUAAAGUGGCGAAAGGGUGAGUAAUGCCUAGACAAUCUACCCUCGAGACUGGGGCAACAACUGGAAACGGUUGCUAAUACCAGAUGCGAAGCGGGUGACCUCGGUCGCCCUCUUGAACGGGUGGGGACCCUGCGGGGCCUGCCGCUCGAGGAGGAGUUUAGGUCCCAUCAGCUAGNGGUAGGGUAACGGCCUACCAAGGCAACGACGGGUAGCCGGCCUGAGAGGGUGUACGGCCACACUGGGACUGAGACACUGCCCAGACUCCUACGGGAGGCUGCAGUCGUGAAUCUUCGGCAAUGGGCGCAAGCCUGACCGAGCGACGCCGCGUGGAGGAUGAAGGCC